UGUAGGGUCGGAGGAGCAGGGUCGUGCCAUUGCGCAGGCGCAAAGAAUAAAACCGCGACCCACUGCGCAUGCUUGCGGAGGAUUCUUCCUGCGGUGGCGCCAUAGCGCAUGCGUGAUUGGAGCCGAGUGGCAUGGAGGCGUAAAUAAACAAAGCAGUGGGUGUCACCGCGCAAGCGCAAACUGAAGCAGCUCCGGAGUUGAAUUGAAUUCUUCCUCUGCGCAAAGGGCGGAGCUUGGCGCCUCUGAAGGGGAGGCCCACUGACUUUGUGGCUCGGUUAUUUUUAUGGCUUGACCCACUUUCUUGCGUUGCUGAGCAGCUUUGGGGGGCCUUCGUGGGCCUCAAACUCAGAUUAGACACCACAGUCAGAGCAAAACACUCCGCCGAGAUUCCAAGUGGCAUAUAACAUCAUCAACCUGCAUAUAUGGAGUUCCUUCCUUUCCCUUUCUGAGUUGAAGAGUCCGUAAUGGUUUUUGACUUUUCUAUAUGUAUUAAGAAUAAUGGCUAGAAUGUCCGUGGAUGUCCCAAGUCCCAUUAUGAUGUAGUAAAAUGAGGUUCCUAAUAUGAAAUGGUAAAAUCACUUUUUUGCUUACUAGAAUUGUUUAAUAUAUUUUCUAACCAUGGAUGGUUGAAUCUAUGCAUACAGAAUCUGUGUAUAUGGAUGGACAACUGUAUCUCACAACCUAAUUGAAAUGUUGCCACUUUUUUGCUGAAUGUCCAGUGAGCAAAGAUAGCAGCCUCUGUAUAGACUGCUGUUACAACUCAUGAUCUGUAGAGGGGUGUCUAUAGAUUUAUUAUUUGCGACAUUUAAAUGUUGUUAUUGAUUAAUUAUUUCCAAAACACUUAUAUGGUAUUUUAUUAUCUGAAGGCUGUAAGUACAAGUAUGCAGGAAGGGGAUAGGUAAAGGUAUUAGUCCGACUCUGGGGGGUUGGUGCUCAUCUCCAUUUCUAAGCCGAAGAGCUGGCAUUGUCCGUAGACACCUCCAAGGUCAUAUGGCGGGCAUGACUGCAUGGAGCGCCGUUACCUUCCCGCCGGAGUGGCACUUAUUAAUCUAAUAACAUUUGCAUGUUUUCGAACAGCGAGGUUGGUAGAAGCUGGGGCUUACAGUGGGAGCUCUCCCCGCUCCCUGGAUUCAAGCCUCCGACCUUUUGGUCAGCAAGUUCAGCAGCUCAGUGAUUUAACCCUCUGCGCCAUCUAGGGCUCCUAGGAAGAGGGUAGAAAGAUUAUUAGGAUUUCUACACCCUUACAAUAGCAUAACUAACUUCACAACAGUCUUAAUUUUGACCAUAUUGGAGGAUGGUUUGUUUUAACUGACAAAUGACGUGGUGGCUUCAGAUGUGGAGGGAUGAAUCCAUAUGAAACAGAAUUCUUAAUAUAUAAAAUGUGUGCAAUCUUUGUAUUGAGUGUUAGGAAGUUAGUAGCAGCUGACAGACAGCUACGUUAGAAUGUCAUGUAAAUUGCCUUGAAUUCCAUGAUCGGAGGAAAUAUAGAAUAUGAAUGUGCUGUUAAAGAAAUGAAGGAAUGGUUAGAGAAAAGUGGCAGAUGAGACAAUUGUACUAGUUGAGAAUAGCAGUUGAAUGGAUUGUACUAGCACAGAGAAACCACCAAACUAAUGUAAUAACUAUGUUCAUUUAAGUCAAUAGAACAUUGCAACUUCAUUUUUAUACAUUUAUUUUAAUUAAGCUUUGUUAAAUAGGACCUGCUUUGGACAGUUUUACUACCUGAGCUAUUCCAAAGACCUCACAAUGUUGGAACAGGCUGCCACAGGAAAGCUGUUAACACUCCAUGUAGAGCUAAGCUUUGGAGACAGUCAUCAUUGGAGAUUCUGAACUCUUGAGGUCCAUUUUCAGUUUAUAUAUAAAAUUAUUCAUGACUGAUUCGCUGGAUAAAUGUUUAUGAUUAUUUUCCAAUUAUCUUUAAUAAGACACUAAGGAUAUCAAUCAUCUGAAACAAAUUCAAUACAUUUAGCUAGGAAGAGAGGAAGAGACAUUGCUUGCAUGUUUGAUGUUGAUUUCAUUUUCAUAACAAGCUGUUAAAGCAGUUUUUGAAGGUUUUGGCUGGUUCCUUUCAAUUAUAGUACUAUUGAGUUAUAAAACAUUUAGAUUUAAGCAAGAAUUCAUACCUCCUAAGUAUCAAUAUAGUUUGCAUCUCAAGAGAGAAGUGUUCAGGUAGUUAGAGGACAAUAAUACAAGACCUAAUUUGGAGAUAAAAAUAUUGGAAAACAAACAGCAACAGAUAUUUUUGGUGUUUGUGCAUAGCCAUUGUGGUUGCAUUUUAUUGUCAUAUUUGAUCAUUAUUAUACAAAAUAUACAGAGUUGAAAAUGCAAAGCUGAGAACAGAGCUUGGUGUGCCCCACUAGUACAGUGGGACGUGAGCAUCUGGCCUCUACUGGAUGACUGUAGUGACAGCACAGGUAGAAAGAUGCUGCUGGCAUGUCGGUGAGGAAGGGAAGAGUAGACAGCAAGACAAAACUAUAACUUCCCAGCCUGAAUAUAGCAGCCUCACUUGUGUCAUGAUAGCCAUCAGAUUAGGUACAUCAAGAAACAAAAUGGAGAUAUAUUCAAACAAAAUAACAUUGUGCAAGAUGGUGAAAGAUGUGUUAGGUUAGGAAAUUAUUUUUGCAGAAUCAUGGAAUAUUCUGAAUGGAACCACCAUGAUAAGAACAAAGAGAGUACAGAGUAACAGCAGAUGAAGAGCUUGUGCCCUCCUGCUUUUUAUGUUCAUUAUUUGUAGAAUAACCUGGCUGUUGCACUCAUAACAUCUCACAUAGUUUGAAAUUGCCAUGCAUUAAAAGAGUGAUGGUAUGUAAUUUGGUGAUCAUAUUACUAAUGGUUUAAUCCAAGGCUGUCAAAAUGAGGGGAGUCUCUGCUGAAAGUGAUACUAAGAGUGUGGUCUUAGGAUUUGUUUCUUAGGUAUAAAGCUGUAGGGCAUUUUCUCCUCAGAAAGGGAUACAAGCCCUUGUUCCAAAUUGUAAAAAGUUACUUUUUAGAUUGCAACUGGCCAUGUUUGGCCAGGCAUGAUGGGAGUUGUAGUCCAAAAAGUAACUCUUCCAAGGUUUGGGUUUAACAUGAAGUUACGCGGGCUGGAUUUGUGGGAAAGUUCACUGUAGAUACCAUAAUAAAGUGGCAUCCCCUUAUUGUUUCCUAGCUCCCUAGUGUAAUUUCUAGUAGAGUUAAGACUAUACCUGGCAUUUUAAGGAAGCAGACUUUAUGUUUUUAUAGGUCUGAUGUUCACAUUUUAUUUAAGGAAAACUGACAAUAGGCCAGGGAAACAACUCUACCCAAAACUCUAGAGGCAGAUGGUAUCGAGAUGGAUGGGCUGUUAGCCUAACACAGUAUGAAGUACUGUAUCUUCUUGUAUAUGUAUUUUGCAGUUGUUAGCAUUUUUCAGUCAACGUAGCUGUUAAGAUAAGAGAAAGUACUCCUUGGCCUUUCUUUUUAAAAUGUAGCCCAGAGAUAGCCAGUUUAGAGCUGAAGUUAAAACAGCCUUUUUGGACUAAUUCUGCUUUGCAUUUUUGCACACAGCAGCACUCAAAUGGUCCUGUUCUGCUUUGCUUCUUGUAACCAGGCAUGCAUUAAAAUCCCAUUCCCUGUUCCAGAUAACCCAUGUUAGGUUGUUAUUAAGGGGGAAAGGAGAAGUGGGGAUAUACCAGAUCCUGUAAGAUCAUUCUAAAGACCCACUUCGAGCUGCAGGACUACUUUCUUCUAGAUGUAGCACAGCCUUGUAUAAUGACUGUUAAGUAUGGGAUAUAAAAUACAAAUGUAAUCCUCUCCGUUGUGAAUUUCCACACAAUCAUCAGGCAUCCAAAUCCUGGCUACUUGGAAACCUUUUGUAUAGUGAAAGAUGAUCCGCCACUGGGUGAAGACAGUUAAAUCAAAUACUUUAACAUGCUAAUUUUUAACAUGCUUUGACACCAAACAUACACAAACUCUUCGCUGUCCUGGAAAUAUCCAAGAAACAACUGCAGAAUAAUGGGGCAAUACCAAAGUAUUUGGGCUGGUCUGAGUGAGAUUUGGUAUGAUACUUUCUCACCACCACCAUCAUGAUACUUUCCUUCUGCAGGUUUGAGUGUUUGUGGGUUGUUGUAUUUUUAACUUAAUAAAUAGAACCAAAGAUUUUGGUGAGGGAUAACAAAUGAGGUAAUUAAGGAAAUAUCUGUGUACAGAAAAUGCUUUUCAUCGAUGGAAGACAAGGGAGUACAAAAAGUGCAUGUUGGGUUAGAAAUUGUUUCACUGAAGAAUAUGUAUGUGUGGGUUUAGGAACGAUUAAGAGGGGCGUUUGACUGAUUAAAACCAACUGGAGGCAAAGGCAGAAGGAAAUGUAAGCCAAGAGAAAGGAACAAUUUAAAGUGGUGUACAGAAAGUUGAACUUACAGCUCUUGGAAGUUACAAAUUAAAUGAAAACUGUUGGGUAGAUUUAGUGCUGCCCCCAGACCCGGACCUCUGCUGUGAUGCUCCACUAUUUAACCUAGAGAUUAAAGAGUCCUUCAGGGUGGUGUGAUGGAUUGGCAGGAGGUGACAUGGCAGUCUCAGGAAGGGGAAGAGCCUCAUUUGGGGUCUAGUGCACAUGGAGGUCUGUUUGCAUAGCUAAUAAAGUCUGAGCCAGCCAGUUCUACCCACCAGUCUCAAUCCAAUCCUUCCACCCAUUUGGAAGAGUCUCUCUUGAAUGAAUCUGCCUGCAAUCUCUGGACCAGGGGCUCUUGCUUCAGCAGGGCCUUGAAGCUUGAUUCAAGUACUAAUGCUUACUCAGAGCUGAAACUACUAGCAGGUUGAAAUAGCAGGAUCAAAUGUUAGAAUGUCCAGAUGUUAAAAUAAAGGAACAGCAGCAACGAUAUACUGAGAAUAACUGCAGGUUGUGAUAAAAGAAGGACUGUGGAUGGAUAUUUAAAUGGUGAUGGAGCAGCUUGUGUACUUUAGGGGAAACUAGAUGACCUAGGACAGAGAAUAUUGUCUCUGCUGUUCAUAUAUUCACAUUCCUCAACUUUUAAUUUGCUUAUAGGCCACCACCUUGUCCCAUACACACAUCUCUUGUUUUGAUGCAGCAGCCUUCAUCAAUGCAGUGCUCUCCAGAUGUGUUGGAAGAUAGUUCCCAUCACCCCCAUAGAUCAGCAUAUUUUGGAGCACCAUAACAAGGGCAAGUAGGAGGAUUGGAGUGGAGUAGCCUCAACUUAAUGUGGCCAAAAGAACCACACACUGCCUUUAGCAUCAUCUUCGUUUCUUCAUGCAUUGCUUACAUCAAAAUUGUCAUUGUACUGUAGCUAGCUUUCUUGCUCCAAUUUCUCCUCUAAGAAAGCCCUUAGCUAGAUUUCAGCCAUUUUGUUUUAAUUAUUGGCCUUUUGUCAUAUCUCUCUGCUUGAAUGCCUCAACCAAUUCCAUCUUUUAUUUUUAUCACAUGCCCCUCCUCUUAAAUUGAGUAUUAUCAUGCUGUAAUAAAUUUCAGGGUUCUAGACCACACUUCAUAUCCCUACACCAGGCUGCUUCUCUUCUCUUUGCUUAAUUUUCCUAUUGGAUUUUCCUGUCCUUCAGUGCCACUUCUGUCACUGGGCAUAAACAUAGAUUCAGAAUUGUUAUUCACAUGCUUCUUAAAGACUGAGAUAUCUAUUUUUUGCAAAAUAUUUCCUGAACCAUCAAAAUAACAUCAUUUUCCUUUCCUACUGCUCCCUGACUCUCCUUGUCCACCCCAUUAUUUCUUGUUCUCUUACUAGUCUUGUUCACUUAGCGUGGACUGGACUCUUCGCAAGAGCUGCAAAACUUUUACGGAACCUGUUACUGUUUUGGAGCUUUAUAAAUAGGUUCUGAAGUUGCUGGCUGCUCAUAAUGCUUUUGUUAGUGAGGGGUCCAAGGCCUUCUUGUUCUGAGUACAGUAAUAGAAAAGAUGUAGCAUAACUGAGAUGGACAGCAGCUAAGGAAAGCUACAGAGAAAGGAAAGAACUGGCAAAAGAAAGGAGCAGCAAAGAUUCUCUCCACUUCUUUACUCUAUGACCCUUUUAGCCCUUACUUUCUCUGCCCUUUGCUCACACCCCCUAUUUUACCUUUAUCAGACACCCUGAUCCCCUUAUGUCAAUGGGCAUUAUAGAACUCAUGUUUUCAUCACAAACACAAUUUUCAUCUCAAGGCACAUGACAGAACCCCACACUUGGUUGAUGCCACUUUUAACCCUCAUUACUAGAUUUUCUCAUGACUUCAGAUGAAUUGCAACCCACAGUCCUUCACUGAUCUCUGCAUUUCUCACUCAAGGGCAUUAGAGCUCUUAACAUCCAUUUCCUGUUUAAUACCUAGUUGUGAAAGGUGCUUAAUAAAUAUCUCUAAGUACAUGGAGACUCUGCCCAUUGAAAUCAUACAUUUCAAGUAUGAUGACCUCUCUGCCUCUGCCUUGUUCUUCCAGCAUCUUUUAGCAUUAUUGGGAACUGGCAGCAUGGACAAUCUAGGGCCCAGUAAUUGUGCUCAGCAUUUUUCCUUUCCACAGGAAUCCCAGCAUAAUUCACUCUGCCUCUCCUGAUUUUUGAAUGAAACCUAAAGGCACCAAACUGUUUUGAGUGGUGCAGCAUUUUCUCUUUGUUGUGGGUGCAAGGAAAGAAGCCACAAAGCAAAAUCCCACAAAACCCUCUUUUCUUCACUUGAAGUUCUUCUCCAGAUGUGCUAAGGAUUUGUUGAAUUUAAUGCCAGGGCUGCAAGAUACCUUGGUGCCAGGAAAUGUUGGAAGCAUAAGGGUAUUAGCACAUGUGCAAUGAGAACCUUGGUGUAUAUCAGAUGAAGUCCCCUCAUGUAAGGAAGAGGGAAGAUUGCACAUACACCAGCUCCGUUAUGAGUCCUUUGCAACCAGUGUGUUUGCAUUGCCAUUUGGUACUGUGGAACCCACUUGAAGUCUACUGAGAGGCAACAGGGUUGCUGUGAUUAGAAGGCCCUGAAGGGUGGGCACACUGAUUGGUGAGAACACUGGACAGUGCAGUUUCCUGGGGAUGGAGGCAGCAGGUUGGUCCAUUUUGUCUUCAAUGCCCAGAGGAAGUGGGUGCAAAUCCCAGCCAUUCCCUCUGCUGGGCCUUGGCCCAUCCCAGCCAAAACCUCCCAAUUAAUUCCCAUUGUAGGGACUUCCCCAGAUGCAUCUUGAAUAAAUGAGGAUUGCCUCUACAAAAGUCACCCAGUCCAGUGUGGACAAGAAGCUGCUUUGUCCAUGCAUCCAAGAGAAGAGUGCCUCAGAGGGAUACACCAAGGAGAGAAGUCCUGGGGAUGUGAAGGUCUGGGCUCCAGCAGUGGCUGGCUAGAUCACAUUGUCAAAGAACUUCAUGGAAUUCAUGAUGUUUUCAUCCUGUUAGAGAUAAAAGAGUGUCAAGCCCUUGAAUAUGGGAGGAAACAAGGAAGAAGGUCUAAAGAUCUUGUCUGCAAAUAAUGCUUCAGGUUUGUGCUUUCCUCAGAAACUUGUACUGUGGACAAAAAAGACCUUUCAAACCAAACCUAACGUGCUCUUUUUCCCACCCCCUUUUCUAUUUUGGUUACCACUAAAAUUGCAGUUAUUUUGAUCCAUACUUCAGACAUGUUACUUUUUUAUUACAACUUCUAGAUUCUCCUAGAUAACAAGCCUCCCAGUAAUUGUGACGGCUGGGGAUACUUUAAAACAUCCUGGUGAUCCCAGAACAGUUUUACCAGGAAAUUAAUAUUGCUGGCAGGAUGUAAAUUGUACAUUCCUGUUUUAGGUCAUGUCUUUAUGUUAUUUGCUGCUAUAAAGGGCCACAAUAACCAAAUGCUGAAUUGCUAUAUUACCUUUUGGCAGGAUUCAAUGAAUUCCUCAAUAGUCACCACACCAUCCUUGUUUCGAUCCAUUUUCUAAAAUGUAACCAGAGAGUAAUAGAAAUUGAGAGAAAGAUUACUGUUGCUUCAGCAGCAGCAUGUAUAGAGGGGCCUUCUGCAGGAUCUAUAACCAACAGGCAAGUCUCCAGCCUAAUUACAUAAGUUCUCACUAUUUCUCCAUGCAACUUGAAUCUCCAAGUGAGGAUUCAAACCCCGACUUUCUGAGUCAUGCCAUAAGUCACUAUGCUGCACUGGCUCAAGGAAGGACUGAUUUCUAGAAAUACCAACAUUUAUUCAAUCUCAAUGUGUUUUGGAAGGAUGUGAGAACAGGUCUAGCAAGAAGGCAGAAGGUUCUGACAAAACCCUGUACUAAGCCUUUUAGAAAGAGGAUACCCACCAUUAUUAUUCUCCAUAUUCUCUGGACCUAAAUAACAAACAGUCAUAACUCCUAGAUGUGAGAAGAAUUUUGUAAUGUGUAGGAUACUGACGUGGGGGGUUUUAGCCUUACCUGGAAGAAGUUUUCGACGUGUUCCUGGGGUGCUUCAUCUCGCAUGGCUGGGUAAGUGUACUUACCCAUCAUGUCAUAAAUGGAUUUCAUUAUGUCCAGCAUUUCCUGUAUGUCAGAACACAGAAAGAAUAGUAGGAAUAAAUCAUGUCAUAUGGGCUAACAAAAUUUUAUUGAAGUGGAUAGCACCAGGAUAGUCUGCCUUUUCUUGGUAGCGAUUGCUCCACUUUCCCCCAUACCUACCUCUUUGGUAAUACAGCCAUCCUUGUUCAGGUCAUAGAGGUUGAAAGCCCAGUUGAGCCGGUCAUCUAUAGUGCCACGUAGGAUAAUGGACAAGCCAGCCACAAAGUCCUGCAGGAAAAUAAAGGAGAAAGAUGUAGUGAAAGCAGCUACUGAUUACAAACCACCAGGACUCAGGACUGUUGUAUUGUUGUUGGUGCAGAUGUUUCAGACAAUUUACUGGCUAUAGGUCUCAGCAACAAAGGAUAAAUUAUUACUAUAUUUAUAAAAGGGUAUAUCAACUGCCUCUUUCUUAGUCACUUUCUGACUCUGUUGGUGUAUUUGUUAUAAUCCAUAUUUAUUGUGGGUCUGACUAAAUAGGUAGAAAUGAAUGGGGAUCAUGGUGCUAGUCUUACACUGAGAUAUACACAUCUCCAGUAUGAUAGUACUGUACACAUGCACAAAGGCACUAUUUUAGUCUCGGGGUCCUAACCACUUUAAUUUGGUCUUAAUCACCAGAGUGAAGUACCAUUUUCGGCCUAGAGAUGCAGAUUCAGAUUCUUCCAGGAGAUGGCCCCACUGAUCUGCUAAAUAGAAAGGCAUGUAGUACAGAGGAUUAAUUCAAUGGAGAGUGUCAACUACAGCAGAGCCCUUGAAUUAAUUAGAGCAUCUACACUGGUGUAAAUUCCAUAGUGUCAGUGGGUCUGCAUAUCAGCUGUAUUUAGACCAUAGAAUCAUAGAAAAGUAGAGUUGGAAGAGACCUCAUGGGCCAUCCAGUCCGACCCCCUGCCAAGAAGCAGGAAAUCGCAUUCAAAGCACCCCCGACAGAUGGCCAUCCAGCCUCUGUUUAAAAGCUUCCAAAGAAGGAGCCUCCACCACAGUCUGGGGGAGAGAGUUCCACUGCCGAACAGCUCUCACAGUGAGGAAGUUCUUCCUGAUGUUCAGGUGGAAUCUCCUUUCCUGUAGUUUGAAGCCAUUGUUCCGCGUCCUAGUCUGCAGGGCAGCAGAAAACAAGCUUGUUCCCUCCUCCCUAUGACUUCCCCUCACAUAUUUGUACAUGGCUAUCAUGUCUCCUCUCAGCCUUCUCUUCUGCAGGCUAAACCAUGAUGUUCACACAUAUACUGGAGUCCAGCAUACACAUCUGUAUUUAAGAGCCAGAGCUAUUUAAAUUCCUAGCUUGAACAGGUAAUCUUGAUGCAGUUCAAUAUGCAAACAUGCCACUAACAAUUGAAAGUUCAUUCCGCUGUUUUGCUUCCAGUCUUGAACUGCAAAGCUAAAGCCAAAUACACCAUGGGCCCUCCAUAUUUAUGGAGUCUGCAUUCACAGAUUCCACCAUCCGUGGCUUGAAAAUAUUGUUCACAUAUUCCCAAAAACAAACCUUAAUUUUACCAUUAUGUAUAUGGAAGACCAUUUUAUUAUCCCAUUAUAUAUAAUGGGACUUGAGCAUCCAUCCACACAUUUUGAUAGUGAUGGGGUGCUGGUGGUCCUGGAACAAAAAUCCAAUAGACAACAAGGCGCACUUUAUAUAAUAAAACUGUUGGGUGCCUUCAAAAUGUUUCUAGUUUAUGGCAAUCCUAUCCUAAGGUUUUCUUGGCAAGAUUUAUUCAGAGGAGGAUUUGCCUUUGCUUCUCUGGCCCCCUCCACACAGCUGAAUAAAAUCCCACAUUAUCUGCUUUGAACUGGAAUAUAUUGCAGCGUGGACUCAGAUAACCCAGUUCAAAGCAGAUAUUGUGGGAUUUUCUACCCUGAUAUUCUGGGUUAUAUGGCUGUGUAAACGGGUCCUCUCUGAGGCUGAGAGUUGGACUUGCCUAAGUUCACAUAGUGAAGUGAGGAUUUAAACCCUGGCCUCCAGAAUCAUCUUCCAGUGCUCAAACCACUACAUAAUGUUGUCUCCUGGCAAAACUACUAAAUACAGUCUCACUCUUUCUGUUACACUAAACAGCUGUUAAUAUUUGACCAUGAUGAUGGUAAAGACUCCAAAACCUUUUGACUUAGUGGCAAAUCCCAAACUUACUACAUUCAGUUUUGCUCUCAUCUGUGACUUCAGAUUACAGGGAAGUAAAUAAGAAAACUUGGAAUCUUACCUCAAAGCUAACAGACCCAUCAUGAUCAGUGUCAAACGCAUUGAAAAGGAAAGUUGCAUAAGUACUGGAAUCUGCAGAGAAGAGCAUCAGGCUAAUUAAUUAAGAGGAAGCAAUCUGUACACCAAUCUACCAUAUUUCAGCAAGAUACAAACAAGGGCAACAGGCUGGAAACAAGAUCUUAGAGCAUGGACCCUUAGAUCUUCUGGUGAGGUGCUCCUCUCGAUCCCACCGCCAUCCCAGAUUCGGCUGGUGGGGACAAGAGAGAGGGCAUUUUCGGUGGUGGCCCUCUGCUUUUGGAACGCCCUACCCAAAGAGCUAAGAUUAGCACCAUCAAUAACAUCUUUUCGUAGGGAUUUGAAAACUUGGUGGUUCCAACAGGUUUUUGGAAAUGAUUAACCUGAAGCCUUAGACGCCACUUUAGCCAUUAAAAGGAAACUGGGAUCCAAAUUGGCUUUUGGAAGUGCUUACUCUGUAAUUUUAGACAGCACAUUUGACUAUUUCAUGACACUUGUCCUGUACUUUACCCGCUCUUUUGAUCUUGUUAUGGUGUUUAUUCUAUUAGCCCUACCUGAUAGUUAUACAGUAGGCCGAAGUGUGGAAUUUUAGCCUAGGUUCCUUGCUAUCAGUCACACUUUGCCUUGGCUUUAUGCCAUUUUUACCAUAUGAGUCCUAUUCCGACCAUACUGCCAUCUUGCCUGUUUUAUAUUUUUUAUAUAUUACACACUUUCGUUGUAGAACCACUAAAUGGAGCAAUCUGCAAUUGCUCUUGCUAGGUAUUAUAUUGUUUUAAAAUGUUGGAAUUCUAAACAUGUUUGUUAAUUGCUGUUAUAUUGCUUCUUGUAUUUUGUAUUAUGUAUAUGUAUUGAUUGUUUUGAUGAUGUGUAAACCACUCUGAGUCCUUAUUGGAGAUAGACUGGUAUAUAAAUAAAGUGUUGUUGUUGUU